CCUACGGGAGGCUGCAGUGAGGAAUAUUGGUCAAUGGUCGAGAGUCUGAACCAGCCAAGUCGCGUGAAGGAUGACUGCCCUAUGGGUUGUAAACUUCUUUUAUAUGGGAAUAAAAUGUUCCACGUGUGGGCUUUUGUAUGUACCUUAUGAAUAAGGAUCGGCUAACUCCGUGCCAGCCGCCGCGGUAAUACGUAGGAUCCGAGCGUUAUCCGGAUUUAUUGGGUUUAAAGGGAGCGUAGGUGGUUUGUUAAGUCAGUUGUGAAAGUUUGCGGCUCAACCCUAAAGUUGCCGUUGAAACUGGCAGUCUGGAGUACAGUAGAGGUGGGCGGAAUGCGUGGUGUAGCGGUGAAAUGCUUAGAUAUCACGAAGAACUCCGAUUGCGAAGGCAGCUCACUGGACUGCAACUGACACUGAGGCUCGAAAGUGUGGGUAUCAAACAGGAUUAGAUACCCUAGUAGUU
rnacentral:rRNA from 1 species